CGAAGUAUAGCAUAUGUAAUGCUUUUUACUUACACUAAAAUUAAAACACCGGUUUACUUCGC
rnacentral:tRNA from 1 species